rnacentral:lncRNA from 1 species
CCUGGGGAGGGGGACUGUAGUGGAGAGGGAGUAGGGAAUAAAAAGGGAUGAAGGAGGAAAAGCAGACAGACUAACAGACAAGGAGGGAGGGAGACACAGUCAGAGGAAGAGAUAGACACACUAUCGCAGCUAUGCCCGAAGCCAAGAAGCCAGCUGCCAAGACAGAUAAGGCUGCAGCAGCACCUGCUGGUGAGUCCACUCAUAACAAAUGGAUGACAAAUACUUUUACAUGAAAUACUUCAAUGAAUGGUUAGGCCUAUACUAAAAUCAAUGUCUGAUUCAAUUUUUCUCCUCUUUUUUUUUACAGAUAAGGGUGGGUGAGAACAGGACGUGUGUGCGUGUUAACUUGUGUCCCUUUGUGUGUGUUUGUGUUAGUCAGUAGGGCAUAAUCAUCCCCUCAUCAUUCCAAUGUAAUGUCGGUUAACUGUUUUCCCUCACUCAGCGAAGCCAGCGGAGGAUCAUGGUAAGGCCUCUAAGACCAAUCACAGAAGUAGCUUUCUGUGGGGAUGAGACUGAGAGUGGCCAUGCAUGAUUCUCACCACGCACCAUGACAGUGUUGAUCAGAUAGAACGACAAUACACUUAGGGCUUCACACGUUUAUAUUCACGCCUAUCACAAUUUCCUACUGGUUUAAGCAUGACAAAGCAGACUAUAUUCAUUUAAAUGAAAUAUUAGUCAUUAUUCUUCUGAUUCUUACUGGGUUUUUUUUAUUACCUGAGAUAACAGGUCACCAAUCAGUUGGUAAGAACUA